rnacentral:rRNA from 1 species
UACGUAGGGUGCAAGCGUUAUCCGGAAUCACUGGGCGUAAAGCGUGUGUAGGCGGAAGCUUAAGUGUGAUGUUAAAUCGUGUGGCUCAACCAUAUCGAUGCAUCGCAUACUGGGUUUCUAGAGUAUGGCAGAGGCAAGUGGAAUUGGUAGUGUAGCAGUGAAAUGCGUAGAUAUUACCAGGAACACCAAUGGCGAAGGCAGCUUGCUGGGCCACCACUGACGCUGAGACACGAAAGCGUGGGGAGCGAACAGG